ensembl:lncRNA
CCCUGGAGCCUGUUAGGCCUUGUUGUUUUAGAGACCUCAGAAAGGUGAAGGGUAUGUGAUUUCAUGAGUCACGUAAAGGUUAUGCAUGGAAACACCACUGGUGAGAUCUCAGAAGUACUGAUUUUUCUCAACAUGAGUGUCACAUCUUACCAACAGCACCUACAGGCCCAACACAAGUACCUUACACAAGAAAUUACUGAUCUGUGCUGUUUAGCAAAGACAUGUAUUACUGACGGACUUGGACCUUUGUGAUGGACAUACCAGAAUGCAUAUUGUGUGGGCACAUAAUUACCACAGUCCUAGAAGAGACUGAAAAUGCUAUUGUCAGAAAAGUACUUUGUGUAGUGUACAUCUGCAUUUUCUGUCUUCUGUGGGAGAUUCUGCCAACAGAAGGAAGUUUUCUCCUUCAGUUUUAUGAAAUGUGCUUCUAGAGUAAAAAGUCUUGGAAAUACUAGACUUGAGCAGCUCUGCACUUGGACUGUAUCUGCCUAUGGAGAGUCUGCAAAUAUUUCACUGUUUGCCAACAGUUUCCAUUCUUUGUCAGAUUUUGGUAAGAAUAGAGCCCCUUCUCACAGCUAUUGCUGCCUUCUGAAGGCUAGGUUAUACUGCAGGUGUUGCAGCACCUUCUCAUCAUAGGUGCUGCAACAAGAAUGCAGUGGUAAGGAAGAAGAGCCCAAUCAUAAAGGAGGCCGUAACUUGAUACAAGAUGGAAAGGUUAGGAACAAAGACUGUAUGUGACUGAAUGUCCAGCCAAAGAUGUUGAUGGGUGCAGGACACUCAUGCAUGGAGGCCUGGAAGAACACACAACUGUUUCACGAAGUUCUGUCAAUUACCUUCUUAAGAUUCAGGCAGUAAGAUGCCACUGCAGGGGUGUACUAUCCUAAACUCUAACAAGAACUACAGCUUGGGCAUCUGUACCUCCAACAGCAUGAACUUGAGAUGACUUUGUAGAGUGGAUGCUGAAGAUGACGCAGACCUCAGUGGACCAGACUGUUAAUCUGGACUGGGGUGCACUCAUUGGAGGAUACUAAGCCACAGGGACUGAACUAUCAUCCACAUAAAAAAUUCCUGUUAAGGAACUACAGCAUUCGAUAGGUUAAUCAAACAAACAAACAAACAAAAAAAUAAAAUAACCAGUGCAAUAAGAUGUUAAGCAAUGUUGUCAUUACUAUAAUACCUGCUGAGAGGACAUAAAAAUAAUUUAAUUUAAUCCUUAGGGUUUUCAGGGAGUAGUGUAAAUACAUAUGGAUCUUCAGAUGUGUAUAAUGAAUGACAAGGCAUUAAAAGCACUCUGAUCCAAUUUUGUCUAAUUUCAAAAAUCACAGUCAUGUUUUGUUUUUUCUUCACAGUAUUUAGUUAUCAGAGCCAACACACAUGAAAACUCUGUGAAAUCCUCAGGAUGAAAACUUCUUUAUAUCUCAUCCUAGAGAGUAUUUUAGAUGUUUUGGUUUUAGAAUAAGGAAUGGUGACUGCUUAUGCAGCUUGUAAUGCUACAGAUUUAUUGGCAAAGGUUUCAAUUUACCUGAUUGAAAAGAUCUGUAUUUUUAUAGAAAUGUUUCAAAGUUGAAAUGAUAAGUAUAAUUUUCAGUGAAACAGCCCCAAAAUUUGUUAUUCUAAAUUCUUAAAUUAUAAUUAUUUAUGUACUGUGUGUUAUCAGUACCAAACCAUCAUUAAUAUGAAUAAUGCAAUUUUGUACUCCAACAGUAGUGUUAAAAAUACUCUGGGACUCCCAUUUACCAAACUUCAUGACAGAGUUUUCUAGUUUAUGUGAGCAGGAUUGUGUUCUUUCUUUGUGUGUGUGUGUAUCUAAGGAAAAACAUUUGCUAGCAUUAGUUCAAGAUUUAACCAUACAUUUUUUUUGGUAGCAACUUUAGCAUUUCCUAAUCAGAUGCUUCUCAUCUGAAAACAGAAAACAUUCUGGUUUGCUUUCAUUUUGUUAGUUACGGUCAUUCAGAAACAUUUGGUGGGGAAAGAAACCUAUGUGAAUUGAAGCUCCAACAUCUGGCUGUCUUAAGCAAAAGUUAAACUGAAGGUGUAAAUCUGUAUUUUGUUGUUUUGUAAUCUUUUUGGUAUGAGAUCAGUGAAGGGAGUCUAUUAAGUGACAUUUAUCACUGUUUUCUAUUACAGCUUGCCUGGAAACUUCAGGAAAGUAUUAUCAGCAAAUGCUUAUACAUAUACUGAAUAAAUGGGUUCAUGCUUUAUAUUAUAGUAUUACUUUGGCUUUCAUACAUUUCCAAUAUCUUAAUCAAAGAUAUGCCUUGGAAUUAUAUUAAACAUAUCUUACACAUGUACAAUCUAUGCUUUACAUUCCAUCUUUCCUGGGCUUAAAAUACUGUAAAUUGCUCAGGUCUGGAUCCUCUUCAACUUCCUUACUGCAGUGGGAAUUUUUCUAUUAAAUUCACAGGGCUUUGGAUUCAAUUCCUUAUGGCCUAUGUAGCUUUGUAGCCAGCCAGGAAUGAAUUUCUCAUUCUACAGUAAGCAAAAAUGAUGUUGUGGGUGAGAGUUGCUCGCCUCUUGCUGGUCUGGAAGCUGCAUGAUUAUUUUCACUGUGAGGAAAGGCCAAAGUCAUUUUCAGAUUUCAUACUGAUGUGUCAUUACAGUGCAAAAACAGUCUAGGUAGUUCUAGAGUUUACCAGUAGGGAAGCUUGUAGUUGAUGAUUUUGUUUUUUUCCACAGUUGAAGUGUAUGCAUGCAUGCAUGGAAUGUAUGAUAAUAAUGAUACAAUUAACUAUGGAUAAAACAUUUUUGUACAAUCUAGAUGUUUCCUAAUCAAAAUUAUAUCAGAAAAUCAACAAUUGUAGCUAUACAAGUACUUUAUUUCGGACAUUCUCAUUUGUGUCACCGUAAAUUUUUAUUGCAUCACAAAAGAGCUAUACACUUUUUGCCUUGUGAUGCAAAGCACUUGGAAGAGGCUGAGCCACAACUAUUGUUCUCUGGAGGUGCCGAGAAACUGGUCUAUUAUCUCUUAAAAACUUGAGACAGACAUUAAAUUCAAUAUGCUACAUAGAAAACAAAAAUAUUCAUUUUUUUUAAUGUAAAGAUGCUGUUCUUUUUAAAAGAAAAACUGAUAUUUCCUAAUUGAAAUAUAUGUGGAAAUAAAUUGUUUUCAGCAGUCCCAGGCCCCAUUUGAAUAACGAAGAGGAAAUACUAGUGUACUUGACUUGAUGCAAUUUUCUUUUCUGAAUUUGUCAUGGAUGGAAAUGGGGAAGCAGCAAUUCAACAAGGCUAUAGUCUUGUUUCUACUUUCCUGAUGGCACAGAUAUGAAUUAAACUGAACCAGUGGAAACAUUAGAAUAUUUUAAUCCAUAUGUUCUUUAAGCCUAAUGUUGUUAUUUUAUUAUAUGAAAGUUUAAUGCUUCUCUUGGUGCCAAAAAUAGGACUCUACUUUGCUGACUGACAUCAUUGUAAAUUCACUGAGAUCAGCUUUUGUAUUAGAAAUGAAAAGUGAAAGGAUGGAAAAUUCAGUUGAUACACAGAUCCUGAAGACCUUUUUUAGGUCAGCUGGUUGUAGUUCUCUUAGUUUAAUCUCAGAGGAUUUUCCUGUUUGUAAAUUUUGGUGAUGAUAAGAAAACAAAAACACUGUGUCCUAUUCUGCCAGUAUUAUGGAGAGAGAACACCCAGAGGCUGUUUACAGUACCUUCCCAAGAUGAGAUGAUAGUUACAAGACUAGAAGGAUGAACUGAGUGAAAACGGAAAUCAUAGUCAUGGAAAAAUGCAGAUUUCACUGCAUGAUGUAAGAUAUUUAAUUUAAACCUUCCCUACUCCUGAAUGCUGGGAAAGUGUAUAUGAGACAUCAGAAAAAGUGUGGCAAUUGCAAUAGAGUUGACAAUGAUAAGACCAGGGUGUGUAUACAUUUCAGUUCUUGUUCACUAAUAACAUUCUGAU